rnacentral:rRNA from 1 species
UACGGAGGGUGCGAGCGUUAUCCGGAAUUACUGGGUUUAAAGGGUGCGUAGGCGGAUUAUUAAGUCAGUGGUGAAAGCCUGCAGCUUAACUGCAGAAUUGCCAUUGAUACUGAUGAUCUUGAGUAUGAUUGAGGUGGGCGGAAUGUGUCAUGUAGCGGUGAAAUGCUUAGAUAUGACACAGAACACCGAUUGCGAAGGCAGCUCACUAAGCCAUAACUGACGCUGAUGCACGAAAGCGUGGGGGAGCAAACAGG